rnacentral:rRNA from 1 species
UACGGAGGGUGCGAGCGUUGUCCGGAAUCAUUGGGCGUAAAGGGCGCGUAGGUGGCGGGACAAGCGUGCGGUGAAAGCCUGGGGCUCAACCCCGGGUCGGCCGUGCGAACUGUUUUGCUUGAGCACUGUAGAGGCAGGCGGAAUUCCGGGUGUAGCGGUGGAAUGCGUAGAGAUCCGGAAGAACACCGGUGGCGAAGGUGGCCUGCUGGGCAGUAGCUGACACUGAGGCGCGACAGCGUGGGGAGCAAACAGG